AUUGAACGCUGGCGGCAUGCUUUACACAUGCAAGUCGGACGGCAGCACAGAGAAGCUUGCUUCUUGGGUUGGCGAGUGGCGAACGGGUGAGUAACAUAUCGGAACGUACCGAGCAGUGGGGGAUAACUAAUCGAAAGAUUAGCUAAUACCGCAUAUUUUCUGAGGAAGAAAGCAGGGGACCAUUUGGCCUUGCGCUGUUUGAGCGGCCGAUAUCUGAUUAGCUAGUUGGUGGGGUAAAGGCCUACCAAGGCGACGAUCAGAAGCGGGUCUGAGAGGAUGAUCCGCCACACUGGGACUGAGACACGGCCCAGACUCCUACGGGAGGCAGCAGUGGGGAAUUUUGGACAAUGGGCGCAAGCCUGAUCCAGCCAUGCCGCGUGUCUGAAGAAGGCCUUCGGGUUGUAAAGGACUUUUGUCAGGGAAGAAAAGGGCGGGGUUAAUACCCCUGUCUGAUGACGGUACUGAAGAAAA
rnacentral:rRNA from 1 species